ACUAAGUCAAUGUUUAGCAGCGCAAAGCAGUCCAAACGUCACGAUCUGUAAUUUACAGUUAGAUUCGAUAAUCAAUGAAAACUACAAACCGUGGUGUUCUGCUGUGUUUAACAAGUAUGUGACUCGUUACCAAGACUCAGAUAUUUCUUUAGUUCCGAACGGCUUCGGACUCUUAAUUGUAAAGCCAGACCCUUUAGAAGUUGUCAUACAUAAGAGAAGAAUUAAUUCUCGCUGCCGAUCUUUCACGUCGACAAAAGCGGGAGAAGUGGAAGCUGUAGUAAACGAGAGGGGAAGUUCACUUCGAUUCAGACAAGAAACGGUGAGACAUCUCUGCGCUUUAUUUG